rnacentral:rRNA from 1 species
UACAGAGGCCUCGAGCGUUAGGCGGAAUCACUGGGCUUAAAGCGUGUGUAGGCGGACUUCUAAGUACCUUGUGAAAUCCCACGGCUCACCCGUGGAACUGCUUGGUAUACUGGUUGUCUUGAGCCUUCUAGGGGCGAGUGGAACAAAUGGUGGAGCGGUGAAAUGCGUAGAUAUCGGGAAGAACACCAGUGGCGAAAGCGCUCUGCUGGACUGCAACUGACACUGAGGGACGAAAGCUAGGGGAGCGAAUGGG